rnacentral:lncRNA from 1 species
UUAUUGUAGAUCGAAUCUCGAGAUAUUUUGACAACAAUCUCCAUCUCGACUCGAUAUUCGGUCUCCUCCUAACUCCAAGAGAUUUUGGAUUUUCUCAUCCCCAUGCCCUGAGACAAAUGCUUGCUGAUUAUGGAUGGCCAAACAUGAGAGUGGAGCCAAGCUGAUCUAUCCCAUCUCUAUCAUAUGCUGUGCUCCUCCUAACCUG